AGACAAUUGUAUGAGUGAAUAAUAUCCUUUAUGUGCUCAUGCGGAAGGCAGUCAUUAGGAUGCCUUGUGAAUGAAAACAUUGCUGUGGGUGAAUGUAAUGGGAAUGGCUGGUGUUGCAAGUGUAGGGUAAGGUGGCAAAAAACAAGGGAGGAUGUAAGAAAGAUCAUGCUGCACAUUAGAUGAUGAAGAUCUUUCUGUCCUUUGAUAUCCUGUGCUCUCACAACAAAUUAUUGUACAUCAAAGAAAUGAGCUCUGAGUCAAGAUGAUAGUAAAAGUGAUGAACUAGAAAAUAAUGUAAAGAGGUAGCACCUAUGAAAUUACUGCAAAUAUCUGAAGAAAUGGGGUAAAGGAAAUUGCUCACAAAGUUGUUUAAAUAACUUAAGCUGCUGUCUGAAAAAUAAAUAACCUGGGAGAUGACUAUUAAAAAUGAAAUGUGAUUAGAA